UGGGUAACCUGCCUCAAAGAGGGGAAUAGCCUCCCGAAAGGGAGAUUAAUACCGCAUAAUAUGUUUAGGUCGCAUGACUUUAACAUCAAAGGAUUUUUCUUUUAGAACUUCCACUUUGAGAUGGACCCGCGGCGCAUUAGCUAGUUGGUGAGGUAACGGCUCACCAAGGCAACGAUGCGUAGCCGACCUGAGAGGGUGAUCGGCCACAUUGGAACUGAGACACGGUCCAGACCUCCGUAGGACGG
rnacentral:rRNA from 1 species